AUCAAUAAGCGGAGGAAAAGAAACUAACAAGGAUUCCCCUAGUAACGGCGAGUGAAGCGGGAAGAGCUCAAAUUUGAAAUCUGGUAGCCUUCGGUUGCCCGAGUUGUAAUCUAGAGAAGUGUUUUCCGUGCCGGCCCAUGUACAAGUCCCUUGGAACAGGGCGUCAUAGAGGGUGAGAAUCCCGUCCUUGACAUGGACCCCCGGUGCUUUGUGAUACACUUUCAACGAGUCGAGUUGUUUGGGAAUGCAGCUCAAAAUGGGUGGUGAAUUCCAUCUAAAGCUAAAUAUUGGCGAGAGACCGAUAGCGAACAAGUACCGUGAGGGAAAGAUGAAAAGCACUUUGGAAAGAGAGUUAAACAGUACGUGAAAUUGUUGAAAGGGAAACGAUUGAAGUCAGUCAUGCUCUUAGGAUUCAGCCGUUCUGCGGUGUAUUUCCUUUGAGUGGGGUCAACAUCAGUUUUGAUCGAUGGAUAAAGGCACGAGGAAGGUAGCACUCUCGGGUGAACUUAUAGCCUCGCGUCAUAUACAUUGAUUGGGACUGAGGAACGCAGCAUGCCUUUAUGGCCGGGAUUCGUCCACGUACAUGCUUAGGAUGACA
rnacentral:rRNA from 1 species